rnacentral:lncRNA from 1 species
UGGUCGCGCACCCGGCUCACCUCAACAACAAAGCGCGGUUUCCUCCCUCGCCAUCCUUCCUCGUGGUCGCGCACCCGGUUGGAUUUCACAGUCAUGGAAGUUCUGCUUUAAAAUCCGUUUCUGAAGAAGUGUUAAUGAUCUUGACACUGCUGACCAGGGACAAAAUGUCCCAUUGACAGUCAUGCUCUGGAGCAGGAUGGGCAGUGAGAGACCAGAGACCACAGGAUGGGUAAGAAAUAGCCCAGCUCAGGCUACUGGGUUGAAGAACUGCCAGAGCGUGAUCGCCAACGUGCAGAUUUCUGAUCUACGUGUAAUGUAGAAGCUGACUGUUCUGUAUCUGACGUUUCAUUUAGAGUCUAUGAAGUAGCUUAGGCCAAUUACUCAUAGCCGCCUGCCCCUCCUCAGUUACCUGGACAUAUGUCUUGUGUUCUGGAAUCAAAACUAAUUCUGAAUGCAUAUCCUGAAAACAUGGGACACUUACUCAGAUUUCACUCUUGGGUGUCAUUGGCCUUUUAAUUAUUUUCUAUCAAUAGACCGACCUUAGAUUUACUUGUCAAAAAAAGUAAGGUCAUUUUAUGAGCACUUUCAUUCCAAUUUCCUAGAUGUCUUUUCUGAUUAGAAAAACCUAUAAACUAUGUAGCUUUGAAUUUAUAGAAUCAUUAUUCCUGAAGGUUUUGCUGUCCUUUGCGCUCAGAGAUGGUCCCACUGACUCAGAGAUGGUCCCACUGACCCAGCAUGGCAGAGCCUGUGAUUGCAGCUCCAGGGGCCCUCAAUUCAUUUGUUUCCCUGCCUCUCCAUCUCCCCAUGUUAUCCUGUCACCCCAAAAAGCACCUGCCUGCAACACGGUCAACAGAGUCCAUCCAUAGAGUCCCGCUGGUUCAGCUGGUUGUUUCCAGCUUUUUGACCGUGACCCACCAAGAGAAGCUCAUCUUAACUAGCAAUGCAAAUGACACACUUAUACAUGUGCACACACACAGAGCACUUCAAAAAGCAACACUUUAUUAACUAUGCUACUUCUAAAGCAUUUUAAUCCCAGCUCUUAACUUUUGCAGAAAGUGUUUAUAAGCAUUCAAUUGAUUACUAUUCACAGUUAGAAAAAAAUAUAUUGGUCACGUAUGUGGUAAUAAAACUGCAAAGUGUACCGAG